CAUUUUAUGAGAUUUUUUUAAUUUUUCCGGUAUUUUUUCAGAUUUUUUUCAUUAUUUUUCAAGAAUUUUUUUUAUUUUUUUAAAAAAAUCACAAAUGUCACGGGUGCAAAAAAAAAAAUAUAUACAGUCAGCGCGCCACGUUAUUAGAAAAAGAUGACUCAGCGUGCCACAUCAGCUGGCCUAGGGGGAUAUUCCAAAACAAAAAAAAAAAAUUACAAGGUUGAAAUCUGACAAAAAAAUUUUACAUGGGGGAAAACCAAAAGUGACCUAUAUUGCAGGGGGUAAAGGCCUAUUAACCCAUAUUAAUAUUAUGAGUUAUAUUUAUAUUGGAAUGACUUACCAUAAUAUGCUACCUAGAAUGUUAUGUAAGUGUCACAAAUUAUUGUCAUAAUGAUAAGUCUUGUAUUCCACCCUUCGACCUAAAACCACUGUGUACCCUAGAUGUAGGAGUCAAAUACUUUGAUGUCGUUCAAACAUUGUCUGUAAUUGAAAAUUUAUAAAGCCGGUUGAUGGGUACUCCGCAAAUCAUGACGAGGGACAUGAGUGACCUAUAUAGAAUUUGCCCCUCCUACACAACAGGAUAAAUGUCUAAGGGCCCAAUAUUUAAUUGGAAAAGGGUGACCCGCUAUGUCUUGUGUUCAACACAAACAUGAGAGAUAAAAUGGUAAUCAUACACAAGAUCAUUAUUACAGAAAAGGUUUCUUCAGAUCACAUGACAUUUUUGUCACUUGGAUAGCAGUGAUGUGUUGUUAGAUACCACUCACUGUUUAUAAUAUUAAAUGUUUGAUUUAAUAUUAUUUCCAAUAUUACAAGAAUUUACAAGGUCACACACAAAAUGAUAGUUAAAUAAAAGGUAAAUGCGAGACUUAUUGACUAAUUAGUUAGUGAAGCCAACAAAUGAGUUAUUGAGCUUAUGUAAGUUUAGUAGUGACUCAUUGACUAUCAGAGCACAUAAGUGAUUGUAUAAAUAUAACUCUUGUCCUAAACCAAGAGUACACUAAAACUGAAUUCCACAAUUCAUAAAUCAUAAAAUCAUCCCUCUUUCUCUAAACCUUGAUUCAAAUAAGCUAGCAUUGAAUGAAUAAUAUGUUAUUAUGGACUGAGUAGAGGUUUUUCCAAUUGAGCAAUGCUUGUGAUCGCUAGUAAAUUUGACAUAAAAGGAACUACACUACAAGAAGUAAUACUUCGAUCCCUGAUCAUGUUGAUUCUUCGUAAGGAUCCAUUGAAAGAAAAAUUAUUUUAUUUUAUCUGCUGCAUAUAUUUUAUUUUGUUAUAAGAUAUCCCUUCAGUGGUAUAAGAGUCACUACAACCCAAGUUGCGAUUUUUUUAGUAUAAAAAACUUUUAAUUAAUUUCCACAAUAAAUAUUUUUAAAUUUGGCUGUCACAUUAAUGGUAUAGGAGGCAGGCCCGUUUGUCAGACUGUUAUGUAGGGGUGGCAAUAGGAUCCAUGAGAUCCAUAUCCAUCCAAUUCAUCCACUAUAAAAUUCAUCUAAUCCAUCCACCAAACAAAAAGUUUGUUAAUGUAUUGGUUUGAAAUCCAUCCAUCAAAGACUAUGGAUGGAUUGAGUCCAUCCACCAAUUUUUGAAAUCCAAUGGAUCACCUCUUUAAAAAAGAAAAAAAAAAUCAAUGGAUUACUUCAAAUAAUAUUUAAUUUUUUAUUUAAA
rnacentral:lncRNA from 1 species